rnacentral:rRNA from 1 species
UGGGGAAUUUUGGACAAUGGGGGCAACCCUGAUCCAGCCAUGCCGCGUGAGUGAAGAAGGCCUUCGGGUUGUAAAGCUCUUUCGGCGGGGACGAAACGGUCCGUGACAACACCACGGACUAAUGACAGUACUCGCAGAAGAAGCACCGGCUAACUACGUGCCAGCAGCCGCGGUAAUACGUAGGGUGCAGGCGUUAAUCGGAAUUACUGGGCGUAAAGCGUGCGCAGGCGGCUCCUUAAGUCAGAUGUGAAAUCCCCGGGCUUAACCUGGGAACUGCGUUUGAAACUGAGGGGCUAGAGUGUGGAAGAGGGGGGUGGAAUUCCAGGUGUAGCAGUGAAAUGCGUAGAUAUGUGGAAGAACACCAGUGGCGAAGGCGGCUAACUGGUCCGGUACUGACGCUGAGGUGCGAAAGCGUGGGGAGCAAACAGGAUUAGAUACCCGAUGUAGUCCCUGAGCGGGCUGGCAAGGCGCAU